AUCGUGGAAAGCCAAAGUAAGGAGAAGCCAGAGGUCAGAGUAAACGAUGGGAUAAGCCAAGGUCAGGAGCGAGAUCAAACUAGAGAACACACGAUCAGGACACACAAUAAUGAGAACCAGAGUCAAUGAAAGGACACUACCCUCAGAGAGAGGCAGUGUUUUAUAGCUGGCUAAUUAGCGAUAUGCUUCAGGUGGACCUAGAUAGACAGAAGCAGCCACAGGAAAAGUCCAGGACCCAGUGC